rnacentral:rRNA from 1 species
UGGGGAAUCUUGCGCAAUGGGGGCAACCCUGACGCAGCGACGCCGCGUGAGUGAUGAAGGCCUUCGGGUUGUAAAGCUCUGUGGAGGGAGACGAAUAAGUCAUGGCUAACAUCCACGAUGAUGACGGUAUCCCUUUAGCAAGCACCGGCUAACUCUGUGCCAGCAGCCGCGGUAAGACAGAGGGUGCAAACGUUGUUCGGAAUUACUGGGCGUAAAGCGCGUGUAGGCUGCCCUGCAAGUCAGGUGUGAAAGCCCUGGGCUCAACCUAGGAAGUGCACUUGAAACUGCGGGGAUUGAGUGCUGGAGAGGGAAGCGGAAUUCUCGGUGUAGAGGUGAAAUUCGUAGAUAUCGAGAGGAACACCGGUGGCGAAGGCGGCUUCCUGGACAGUAACUGACGCUGAGACGCGAAAGCGUGGGGAGCAAACAGGAUUAGAUACCCCCGUAGUCC